AGGUCGCUCUCACAGCCGCGGGGAGUGGGGCGGGGCGGGCAGGCAGAGGUGGAAUAGCCAAGUCCACCUCGGUGUGGAGGGUCAGGAUGGGAACUGGAGCUGGGAAAGAGUGCCAGAAAGGGGCAGGAGUCAGGGGGCCUGACCUUUCCACAUUCCUAAGUCAAAGGGCAGGCUGCAUUUUGGGCUGGUUGCCAAAGCUGGGGACAGCCGGGAAGAAAAAUAUCUGUGGAGUUCUGAGUCCUCCAGACAAUUGCACGACUCAACCCUGGAGAACAUCAAGUGGGCGGUCUUCGGCAGGCUACCUGAAGAAUUGUCGGUUUCACAGCUUGAGUCCUUCAAGAGUGAUGAGCCCUCCGUGGUUAAGAAUCUGCCUGCCAAUGCAGGGGACACGGGUUCGAGCCCGGGUCCGGGAAGAUCCCACAUGCUGCAGAGCAACUAAGCCCAUGUGCUACAACUACUGAGCCUGCGCUCUAGAGCCCGCGAGCCACGGCUACUGAAGCCUGUGCGCCUAGAGUCUGUGCUCCACAACAAGAGAAGCCACCGCAAUGAGAAGCCCGCGCACUGCAACAAAGAGUGGCCCCCACUCGCCGCAACUAGAGAAAGCCCGCGUGCAGCA